UCCUAAAGAGUAACGGAGGAGCACGAAGGUUGGCUAAUCCUGGUCGGACAUCAGGAGGUUAGUGCAAUGGCAUAAGCCAGCUUGACUGCGAGCGUGACGGCGCGAGCAGGGGCGAAAGCAGGUCAUAGUGAUCCGGUGGUUCUGAAUGGAAGGGCCAUCGCUCAACGGAUAAAAGGUACUCCGGGGAUAACAGGCUGAUACCGCCCAAGAGUUCAUAUCGA
rnacentral:rRNA from 1 species